UCUUGUGUGUCUCUGUGUCUUCAAUAUUGUGAAGUUCAAACAUUCAGUAAAUGUGUUUUACUACAGACAGACAUGUGUCUUUAAAUUCACUUUUAUUCUUGUGUUACAUGUGUUUACACUUCUUCACAAGUCUAUGAUGUAUGAAUAUUUGCUGUGAUAUGAUGUGUUUGUGUCAGAGUCAGAGUUAGUGAAGCGUUCAGAGGUUUUUGUACAGAUGCUCAAUUUAUUUCUAUCACUGUGGUACACAUUCGGCCCCGGCACGAGACUCGACGUCGGCAGUGUGUCUGCUCCUAAAGUGAUCAUCCUGCCGCCGUCCAGUGAAGAGAUUUCCAGCAAGAAGACAGCAACAGUGAUGUGUGUGGCCAGCAAUGGUUUCCCUUCAGACUGGAGUCUGAGCUGGAAAGUGAAUGGGAAGAUGUCAGGAUCUCAUGAGAACAGAGCUGGAGUCCUACAGAAAGACGGCGGUCUGUACAGCUGGAGCAGCAGUCUGACUCUCACUGAACAAGAAUGGAUCAACAGAGACUCAGUGAUCUGUGAGAUCAGUCGGGAAGGUCAGACAGUCACUGGAGAAGUGAAGAAAGAUCUGUGUUCUGAGUAGAUC